CAGGAGGCUGCUGUCAGCACUACACUGAAUAUUUCCGCUCAUAAAAUGUUAUUAAGAAAUAAGGUAACAUAUCCAGCUGCUAGUUUCACUAAAAAGGUGAGACUUAAUUUCGAGGGAGCUCGAUUGACGUUUUCGCGGGAGAAGUAAAUCCGGUGGUAUGCGGAGUGAUGGCUGUAGGAGCCAAGCAUAAUUAAAUGAGUUACUUCGGUUCUCAUAAAUUUUUACAGGAUUAUGCAAGCAGAACUGUAACCAUUAACAUCUCGAAUACAUAAUUAAAGAGCCCGGUAGCCAUCUAGCAGAGUGGCGCAGCGGAAGCGUGCUGGGCCCAUAACCCAGAGGUCGAUGGAUCGAAACCAUCCUCUGCUAGUUUGAGUGUUUUGAUUCACAUGACUUGGGAAAGUUGAACAGAGCUAACCCAAGUCUUUUCACCAAGUAUGUGCAAAACCCUGUUAAUAAUUCCGAAGGCGUUUAGCACAA